rnacentral:snRNA from 1 species
GGAUCUAAGGGCGAUCUGGAUGCAACAUCUGUUACCCCAUGGAGCGCCAGGGGUGAGUCGACUGCUCUGACUGGGCGGGCGGGUGUCCCCAUCCUCCCUCGCUCCAUGUGCUCCUGCAGAAGCCGUGUGUCAGAGGACAGUCUCCCCCAGUUAGAGACGGGCCCUUCUUUGGCCAAGGAUAUACGAGUAGUGUGAGGUCGGAGCAGGGAUAGAACAGGCUUCACUUUAAGGCCAAAACAGGCAAUAGACCUAAGUUUGUUUCCCCCUUCCCUGUAGGGAGCCAUUUGACAGAGCUU